ACGCACGCUGGCGGCGUGCUUAACACCUGCCAGUCGAACGGAAAGGCCUGCUUUCCCUUGUGGAUUGCGGGUACUCGAGUGGCGAACGGGGGAGUAACACGUGAGUGAUCUGCCCCCAACUUGGGUAUAAGCCUGGGAAACUGGGUCUAAUUCCCGAUAGGACUGCAGGGUGGUGCCUGUGGUGGAAAACGAUUUUCUAGUGGUUGGGGAUGAGCUCGCGGCCUAUCAGCUUGUUGGUGGGGUAAUGGCCUACCAAGGCGGCGACGGGUAGCCGGCCUGAGAGGGUGGACGGCCACAUUGGGACUGAGAUACGGCCCAGACUCCUACGGGAGGCAGCAGUGGGGAAUAUUGCACAAUGGGCGGAAGCCUGAUGCAGCGACGCCGCGUGGGGGAUGACGGCCUUCGGGUUGUAAACUCCUUUCGACCGCGAGGAAGCCACCUGGUUGGAAGGGUGGUGACGGUAGUGGUAGAAGAAGCACCGGCUAACUACGUG
rnacentral:rRNA from 1 species